ensembl:lncRNA
UUUUCCGGCCCACGGCGUGCGCUUGGGGCCCACCCCUCUCUCUCUCUCUCUCUCUCUCUCUCUCUCUCUCUCUCUCUCUCUCUCUCUCUCUCUCUCUCUCUCUCUCUCUCUCUCUCUCUCUUCUCUCUCUCUCUCUCUCUCUCUCUCUCUCUCUCUCUCUCUCUCUCUCUCUCUCUCUCUCUCUCUCUCUCUCUCUCUCUCUCUCUCUCUCUCUCUCUCUCUCUCUCUCUCUCUCUCUCUCUCUCUCUCUCUCUCUCUCUCUCUGUGUGUUGAUGGCUGACCAGUAAAUCCUUUCCCCUGUCCGCCCGUGCUGCUCGUCUGUUCUGCCUCCCCAUCCUCAUCUCUCUUCCUCCCAUCACUUCGGCCUCGGGCCAUAAAACGUCAGAUAGGAUCAUUAUUGGAAACGUGUGCUAUUGAUACUGGUGGUAUGCAAUGCGUUUGAGUACGCAUCGAGGAGGGUCCAGCUAAGGGUUGGGCGAUAGUUUCUAUUUUCAUAUUGUCCAAUCGUGGUUAUUCUAGAUCACCAAUAUACGAUCCAAACGCAAGGGGGGGGGGGGGGGGGUGCUUGCAGGAGGGGGUUGUGGGAGUUCCUUCGACUGCAAACGAUACAGUUAAAGAUACAUGAAUAAAUACUGAAGAGUGAACAUUUUAUUUAAAAUAUUUUACAAUUUAAAAAAUAUUUUAUAGCAAUGUCUUCUCUUUCAAACAACGGCUCCCUUUUAAAAGUCUGUGUGUCUGUGAUCGGGUCGGCGACAUCACAGCAUCGUGUUCCGUGUAACAAUAUUAUCUGCGUCUUUUAAUAUCACAGUCCAAAUCAUAUCCAUAUGGCGGCGAAGAGCAAACUCUUGGUGAGAUGGAGAACGGACAGGUGGGGUUACAGAACCGUGGAAAAGAGGAAGGGUUACAGAACCAUGGAAAGAGGACGGCAAACUGCUUUCACUUAAAUCCCUCGUCACUCGUGCUAUUUCACGGGGCUAAGCGUGUCGACAUUGUGCUCCACCCGAAACACCUGUAAAUGCACAGUAGAGCGCAGAUGCUAGAGUUUAAAUCGUAGCUCUGAUUCGCCUCUCAAAGCAGAGCGCACAUUGGGCAAAGCAGGAAACAGGGUUUUGCGGUCAAACCCUUCAAAGUAAUAUUUGAAGGCGGCCGAGUGCUACGUUCAGACAGAGUCUAUGUGUGCUCUGUGCGUAGAGUCAGUUCUGAUAGGAAGUUUGUUCAAAUCGCCUAUUUCAGCUUGGGAGAAUUCUGUUGACAUCUGUUCACAGGCCUCUAGUGACGUGCCACAUUGGCCUUUUAUUGCAUUAAUGUCAUGGGUGGUCUUUUCUCUGUAUUGCAUUUGCUAAAUUCUUUUUUCGUUCUUCAGAAAAUAUAGAUAUAGAGAAAUUAAAUAAAUAAAUAUAUAUAAUAUAUAUAGUUAUAUUUAUAUGUAUAAAUAUAUAUAUAUAGUUAUAUAUAUAUAUACAUAUAGUUAUAUAUAAAUCUGUACAGAGCGGAAGGUAUAUAAAAGCUGUGUCUCAUUUGAGAUCUAUGCAUGAUUUCUUUUUUAAGUACAGAUCAGUUUAAGUACAGUAAGUACAGGGUAUUUUGUCAAUCUGCACGUUUUCCCCAAAUCGACAAGUCUGGCCGACCGGUGAUGUUCUUACAUUUUCCAAGCUUAAAACUGCUGGUUUCCAGGUCCCAGACACUUAUUGUGAAAGAACAACCUUAGUAUUUCGACUUCACAACACUCUCAUUUCACAAAACAAUCAAAUCCUAUAUUUCACCCCAUGUAUCUCUGCCUAGCAUCACAAACCCUAAACCAGGCAAGCUCUACGACGGUUUUGCCUUGAGAUACAAGGUCUGGCUGUGUGAGGAUAUCUUUUGCCCCUAUUAAAAUAUAACUUUAAAACAGCAAUUCAAAAUCUACUUUUUUAUUUGUCUUUAUUUUGGAUGACUGUUGGAGAUGGAGCCGGUUUUGGAUGUAUCCAAACAUGGACUAUUUUUCUAUAUUGAACGAGUAAGUCAAUGUGUUGCCUUCACUCGUACACAACCACCAUCUCUAUAUCUCUCUUUCUCAAUUGACAUCAUUCAACAACCCCCCCCACACACACACACACACACACACACACACACCCACAGGUAGCAGGCGUAUUCCUUAUUCUACAUCUUCGACCACCACUGCCAGAGAGAGACGUCAAAUACGUGCAUCACCGUGCGCACGCGUGUUCAUGCUAAAAAAUAUCCCCGCCUUGCCCCCCGGUCAUACCGCCGUGUGUCCUGUGUUCCCUCAAGACGUCCUCCGUCCGACCCGCCGAUGAUACAAAGAACCCACCGAUUGACGCCAACGCAGGAACCCGUCACUGUGUCUCCCCCAACCUGGCGCCGCCCCCGGAGCCUCGCGGUUCUGACCGACCUCAGUUGGACCCUCGUUGUUUCAACGCCCUACACAGAGGGGGGGGUCCGCCCGAACCCGGACUAAAAGAGGCUAGUCCACAGACCGGUCUCGUACUGGACUCUUAAGCACACAAACAGACCCGUGGGGGGGGAACGGACAGUGCUACAUAGGCCCUUCGAAACGGGGUAGUAGAGGUAGUACUAGCGGCAGAACUUGAGUACUGUGGUUUUGUUUGCUUUGUUUGGGUCAAGUCUCUUGUUAUGUAGCGAGGGGGUCUGGCCCUUCGCCCCAUGGUGUGUCGGUUUGCCCUGCCCCCCCCCGGUGAAUGAAACCACACCGACGGUGCUUGUGUUGUUCAGCGGUCGCCACAAACACGCCCUGGCCUAUUGGCUCGUUCGCCCACGUUUCUUUACUUUAUAUUUGUUUUUUUGUGUUGCGGUUGGUUGGGGAAAGCUAGCAAUGGGAUAGGGCUAAUUCUUCGGCUGUAUACUGUUGUUUUUGUUUUGUUUUCAAAUAUAUAUAUAUAUAUAUAUAUAUAUAUAUAUAUAUAUAUAUAUAUAUAUAUAUAUAUAUAUAUAUAUAUAUGUAUAUAUAUAUAUACAUAUAUAUAUAUUCGCAAUGAGCAACGUGUGAUUUACGUGCGACGACAGACUCUCGUGGCGGGUUUACAGUCCUGGACGGAUGGCUCUGUAGUUAGGAACUGUAACCUAUGGGAGGACUGGGGAGACUGGAACCUCACAGCCUUAAACAUAAGAAAACAACAACUGAAAGGGGCAGCUGACUGAAUAUUAACGAGCAAAAGACAUUCAAACACGUUGCUUACUGUCCACAACGUUUGCCGUGGGGGCCAGUUUACCCUGCCUAGUCGUCCCUGGGCAGGGCCGGGACCCCUUCCCAUAAGUUUUCCGGGUUGUUCUGAAUGGCAGUCGGGAAUGUGUGGAUACAUUUGCCACAACUCCAACAGAGCCGAAGUCCCCGCCCGAUCUUUGGGCUAAAGUUCCUCUCUUUAGGGCACCUUGAUGGGUGAAAACAGCAGCAAAGGGUCUGUUCCUAACCUUGUCUAUUUUAUAAGUGUACACCAGAGAGCGCUAUGGAUUCUAACGCUUGCCAUCUCUGGACAGAAAGUAUUGUACAUGAAGGAACAACAUAUUGAGAGUCAGACACACAGUAUUUAGAAGGUCAACUGUAAAUUUCUAAGUGUUAGAAAAACACAAUAUUUGUAAAUAUUACGUUUCUUGUUUGUUUUCUGAUGGAAUGAAUGGAAUACUUACUUUGUGACAACAGAAGGCAACAGGGGCAGAUGCAAAAAUGGAAACCAUCUUGAAAUCCUGGUGCAGAAAUUACCACAUGAUGGAAUCGAAAGAAAUAUAUAUAAUCUGCAUGACUUUGAAAGCAUUUGUUGUGUCGUAUUGCGCUCAGUACAUGAUAAGUAGGCCUAAAAGUAGCAGACAUUUGACCUUCAUUGCUCCGGCAUCCUAUAAUACCUCCCCUGUAAUACAUCGGUAGGCAUAUGUGUCUACUGAAUGUGGGCAAACGCAGGUCACAUCACGCCAUAUGUUUUCCUUUCACCUGCUUGGUUUACAUGUACUUCUUGCGUUAAUCAGCAUUUUUAUUUAUUUUUUAAAUCAAUCAUUUGUAAACUUUAAACUUUUCUACUUAAAUGCUGUGUGGGUAGAUGGUGAUUCUGAGCUCAUAUGACACUGUAGCGAGGUUGAUGAAUCGCUUUUCACAGAGAAACGAAGCGACCGGUUUCAUUGCCGUUGUUGUUCAUCUGUUGCGUCUUUGCAAUGUUGUCCUGUUCCUUGCGUUUUCAUUUUAUUUAAUCAGCCCUCAUCAAAUAUGCACAUUUCCAGGUUAAUGACACAGUCUACACACACACACAAACACACACCUUGAGCUGGAUAUCAAAUUGGUUACCAUGGGUUUGCAAAUCUGCUCUUGUUGUCUUGUUUUUACAUUCUUGAGGAGAAGAUAAUGCUAAAUAAUGAAACAAAAAAAACAUUUUAAAAAAGAUAUGAAAGUAAAUCUAUAUAAAGAAAUAAGGUGAUGAUAUUUCUGUUUACUUUAGAAGUUAUUACACACUGUAUGCUGUGAUUCUGACCAGGAAAAACAAUAAAUACAUUCAUAGCCACUGUCAGAUUAUUUACUUUGUUAAACUGAAAACAUAAAUCGCACACACUUGAUGCACAAACUGCAUUCAUGAGACAAGUGAACCACAUGUGGCAUGACUUUGUCUUUUUGGAGACGUCCCUAUCUGGAGUGAACGUUGUGCGUCAGUAUAAAAUGAAGCGGGGUCAUGGCUGCAUGGUGUGUGUGUGUGUGUGUGUGUGUGUGUGGAGCUGGUUCUGGCCAGUGGCUGAUGAUGUGCAGAGAGAAGGUUAAGCUUCUUGGACACUCUAAUCU